ensembl:rRNA 5S_rRNA 5S ribosomal RNA
GUCUGUGGCCAUGCCACCCUGAACACGCCUGGUCUCAUCUGCUCUUGGAAGCUAAGCAGGGUCAGGCUGGUUUAGGACUUGGAUGGGAGACCAUCUGGAAAUACCAGGUGCUGUCAGCU